ACAUUUCCAUGUGAGCAAUCGCCAGGACACAAGUUAAAGGUCACAUUCAGGAGGUGGGCCAAGGAAGAGCCAGGCUGUCACGAGCUACGCUAACUUCUAGGCCAGGCCACAGACCCCAUUUUGCCACUCAGAAACCCAGUGAGCCCUCAAGCCAAGAAAGGAGUGUGUGGGUCUGGCCCUGGAGGACACAAGGACGAAGACGAUUGUUCCCAGCUCUUCAAGGAGGGGUGGAAGGUGACAGAGAACGGAGGCCUCCCUCCCUUUUCAGAGGCUGGGAACCAGAUCACAUCUAGGUGCAAGAAAGCAGCUACCCCAGAAACACUGGGUGCACCUUUCGCCUGGAAGAAGUCCAGGGAGAUUUCCAGCAGAGAAAAUUAAGCAAAAAAGCCCCGAGCUUCGGGUCGCUGAGGUGGACUUAGGAAACGUGCCGCCACAGAGAUCUGAGAGAGAAAACGCCAGGGCCCUUUGUUGGGCAGGAACAAAGCUCCGGGAAACCACAGUCCUGCGCGUGGCUCAGCGGGGGGAGUGCGGCCGAUCGCCAGGAGCUUCCCGGCCAGGGACGCGGGCACAGACAAGCGGAGAGGAUGCAGUUCCAAGCCCUCACAGCCUCUAACCAAGCCAGGAUGCCUGAACCCCAGGAAACGGAACUGUUCACCAUUACACCAAGAAGAUUGGGAAAGCACCAAAAAAUCAUUGUGAAAGUGUUGAAGGCACAAGCACAGAGUCAGAAAGCUAAAAAUCCUGGAGUAGUGCCUGCUGUAAUCUCAGCACUCAGGAGGCUGAGGCAGGAGGAUCCCCUGACCUCAAAACUAGCAUGAAUUACCUAAGGAGAACCUGUCUCAAAAAUAAAAUAAAAUUGAAAAGGUAAAUAAAAAACAAACCUCUUUUGGGUAAUAAAGAUGGAAAGGCUUGUUCUGUGUUAGGAAAAAAAACACAACUCUCCCUUUCCCCCCCAUGUCCAGCUCCCUUGUUUUCCUCCCCAGAAUUGGCACUAUGGCUGGUCUUUUGGUAUCUCCUGCAGGUUCUGUGUGAUGCUAGGAAAUACAUGUAUACAUUCUUCCAUGUACACUUUUUAUUUUUUCAGACAUGGUCCUGAGCCUAAUUAACUUGCUUCACUUAUUUAUUUUUGAGACAGGGUCUUGCUAUGUUGUUCAGGCUGGCCUUGAACUCAUUGUGUAACCCAGGCUGGCCUCAAACUCCCAGUGAUCCUCCUGCCUCAGCCUCCCAGUGCUGGCUGGGAUUACAGAUAUGUGGUACCAUGCCCUGCUUUAAAUCUUGAUUGUUUUUACACCAUAUAUUUCGUAAUGGUUCAGUA